CCAAAUCCUCACCGAGCACUUUAUCUAUUUCUUUUCCUUUUCCCAUCCAUUUGCGAGUAAUCUUUAGAUAUCACACCUAUUCAAGCGAGAACAAUCAAAACGGUUCCCAUGGAGUACCAUGGAUGUUUGGGGUGCUAAUACAUUCCCCUUGCAUAACCGACUUUCUUACCCAGCAUAUCUCUUUCCCCUGGGUUUUAUCUAUGUUUUC
rnacentral:lncRNA from 1 species